rnacentral:rRNA from 1 species
CCUACGGGAGGCAGCAGUGGGGAAUCUUGGGCAAUGGGGGCAAACCUUGAUCCAGCCNUCCCGCGUGUGCGAUGAAGGCCUUCGGGUUGUAAAGCGCUUUUGGCAGGAAAGAAACGUCNUGGGCUAAUACCCCNNGAAACUGACGGUACCUGCANAAUAAGCACCGGCUAACUACGUGCCAGCAGCCGCGGUAAU